CCUGACUGGGCUGACAACGGAGGACGAGAGAGCUUGGGUGUGGAUGGGAAAAUAACUAGAAACUUCCCUUGAUCUCUCAGCAUUCUGUUCCAUCCCUGUCACUUCGAUGUCUCUCUUUCUUGAAUAUGGAAGCAGCCCUGGGCCCAGCUGCUGCAGGUGGCCAGGAAGGAGCCUGGGAGGAUGACGGGGUUCCUGAUCUGAUAGAACUGGGCUGUGACUAGGCAGAACCCUGUUCCACCACACACACCCCAGUGGAGGACGUUCUGUAUC
rnacentral:lncRNA from 1 species